rnacentral:rRNA from 1 species
CCUACGGGCGGCAGCAGUGAGGAAUAUUGGUCAAUGGGCGAGAGCCUGAACCAGCCAAGUCGCGUGAGGGAAGAUGGUCCUAUGGGUUGUAAACCUCUUUUGCCGGGGAGCAAACAGCGGCACGUGUGCCGCAUCGAGGGUACCCGGAGAAAAAGCAUCGGCUAACUCCGUGCCAGCAGCCGCGGUAAUACGGAGGAUGCGAGCGUUAUCCGGAUUUAUUGGGUUUAAAGGGUGCGCAGGCGGGAUGUCAAGUCAGUGGUAAAAUUUCGGGGCUCAACCCCGGUCAGCCGUUGAAACUGGCUUGCUUGAGUGGGCGAGAAGUAUGCGGAAUGCGUGGUGUAGCGGUGAAAUGCAUAGAUAUCACGCAGAACUCCGAUUGCGAAGGCAGCAUACCGGCGCCCAACUGACGCUGAGGCACGAAAGCGUGGGUAUCGAACAGGAUUAGAUACCCGGGUAGUC